rnacentral:rRNA from 1 species
UACGAGGGGGGCGAGCGUUGUUCGGAAUUACUGGGCGUAAAGGGCUCGUAGGCGGCCCACUAAGUCCGACGUGAAAUCCCCAGGCUUAACUUGGGAACUGCGUCGGAUACUGGUGGGCUUGAAUCCGGGAGAGGAAAGCGGAAUUCCUGGUGUAGCGGUGAAAUGCGUAGAUAUCAGGAGGAACACCGGCGGUGUAGACGGCUUUCUGGACCGUAGCUGACGCUGAGACACGAAAGCGUGGGUAGCAAACAGG